UCCGCGUGGCGGUGAUCGAGGGUUCUGCGGUGCGCUGCCUGUCGGGACUCGUAGUCCACGUCCCCUCGCCGCGGGGGGAGGGGGGUGCCCAGAAGGGAGGGGGACCGCUUGGGGUCGCUUUGUUCCUGCACCCCUCUCUCCUUAAUGUUUUGGGGACCAAUUUCAUCCGGAGAGUGGGCUGGGAGGGGAUCCGGGAGGAUCAGCCUUCGGGGACCUCCGGCGCGCCGAGUUCAGUGUGUCACUGGUUAUGGGGUGGGUGAAGGCGGCGGGAGCGUGGAUUUAGGUUAGAGGCGGUGUGCGCUCGCAGCUGUGUGGAAGGGAGACCGGUUUGUCUACUUGGCCCCUUCCCGCAAGCCCUCUAGAAACGCCAACAUCUCAACUAACCUUACCGUGGUCUUAACCCUGGAAAGGAACCUCGGGGGACAGGGUGUUGCUUGAGAAUAUGGCUUAUAUUAGCUUUGGGCGUUCACUUCUCUCCUCUGUGUUCAUACAAUCCACUCCUGUCCUAUAUUUUAUUCUCUAAAGAACAUCUCUAAAGAAGAUCGAAUGGUAACAUCUACUUCAUUAUGUUUUACAGCUGUCUUUAUAAUUAUUGAUCAUUUUUAGAAAUAAAGGUGGAACUAUUUCAACCAAAAA